GGGGAAUUGUUCGCAAUGGGCGAAAGCCUGACGACGCAACGCCGCGUGGAGGAUGAAGGUCUUCGGGUUGUAAAGCCCUUUAAGCCGGGACGAAAAAAUCGGCGAUAACAUCGCCGGUCUUGACGGUACCGGAAGAAUAAGCACCGGCUAACUCUGUGCCAGCAGCCGCGGUAAUACAGAGGGUGCAAGCGUUAAUCGGAUUUACUGGGCGUAAAGCGUGAGUAGGUGGCUUCCUAAGUCGGUUGUGAAAUCCCUGGGCUCAACCUGGGAAUUGCAGUCGAUACUGGGAAGCUCGAGUUCGGUAGAGGGUGACGGAAUUCCCGGUGUAGCGGUGAAAUGCGUAGAUAUCGGGAGGAACAUCGAUGGCGAAGGCAAUCACCUGGGCCUGAACUGACACUGAGACACGAAAGCGUGGGUAGCAAA
rnacentral:rRNA from 1 species